CAAUAGCGUAUAUUUAAGUUGUUGCAGUUAAAAAGCUCGUAGUUGGACUUCUGCGGGUGGCGGCCGGUCGUGCUCGAAACGGGCGUGAACUCGGCGUGCUGCCCGCAUCUUUGGGGAGAUUGUGCGUGGCAUUAAGUUGUCGUGCAUGGGAUUCUCAUCAUUUACUGUGAAAAAAUUAGAGUGUUUAAAGCAGGCCUUUGCCUUGAAUACAUUAGCAUGGAAUAAUAAGAUAGGACCGUUGUCUAUUUUGUUGGUUUACAGAUGUCGGUAAUGAUUAAUAGGGAUAGUUGGGGGUAUUCGUAUUCAGUUGUCAGAGGUGAAAUUCUUGGAUUUUCGGAAGACGCACGACUGCGAAAGCAUUUACCAAGGAUGUUUUCAUUAA
rnacentral:rRNA from 1 species